rnacentral:rRNA from 1 species
UGGGGAAUAUUGCGCAAUGGGGGAAACCCUGACGCAGCAACGCCGCGUGAAGGAAGAAGGUCUUCGGAUUGUAAACUUUUGUCUUUUGGGAAGAUAAUGACGGUACCAAAGGAGGAAGCUCCGGCUAACUACGUGCCAGCAGCCGCGGUAAUACGUAGGGAGCAAGCGUUGUCCGGAAUUACUGGGUGUAAAGGGUGCGUAGGCGGCUAUGUAAGUCAGAUGUGAAAAUUAUGGGCUCAACCCAUAACCUGCAUUUGAAACUGCAUGGCUUGAGUGAUGGAGAGGUAAGCGGAAUUCCUAGUGUAGCGGUGAAAUGCGUAGAUAUUAGGAGGAACACCAGUGGCGAAGGCGGCUUACUGGACAUUUACUGACGCUGAGGCACGAAAGCGUGGGGAGCAAACA